rnacentral:rRNA from 1 species
AGAGCGAACGCUGGCGGCAGGCUUAACACAUGCAAGUCGAGCGCUCGUAGCAAUACGGGAGCGGCAGACGGGAGAGUAACACGUGGGAACGUACCCUUCGGUUCGGAAUAACCCAGGGAAACUUGGGCUAAUACCGAAUACGUCCGUAAGGAGAAAGAUUUAUCGCCGAGGGAUCGGCCCGCGUCCGAUUAGCUAGUUGGUGGGGUAAUGGCUCACCAAGGCGACGAUCGGUAGCUGGUCUGAGAGGAUGAUCAGCCUCACUGGGACUGAGACACGGCCCAGACUCCUACGGGAGGCAGCAGUGGGGAAUAUUGGACAAUGGGCGCAAGCCUGAUCCAGCCAUGCCGCGUGGGUGAUGAAGGCCUUAGGGUUGUAAAGCCCUUUCGGCGGGGAAGAUAAUGACGGUACCCGCAGAAGAAGCCCCGGCUAACUUCGUGCCAGCAGCCGC